UAGGGAAUCUUCCGCAAUGGACGCAAGUCUGACGGAGCAACGCCGCGUGAGUGAAGAAGGAUUUCGGUUCGUAAAACUCUGUUGUUAGAGAAGAACAGCGCAUAGCGUAACUGUUAUGCGUGUGACGGUAUCUAACCAGAAAGCCACGGCUAACUACGUGCCAGCAGCCGCGGUAAUACGUAGGUGGCAAGCGUUGUCCGGAUUUAUUGGGCGUAAAGCGAGCGCAGGCGGUCAAUUAAGUCUGAUGUGAAAGCCCCCGGCUCAACCGGGGAGGGUCAUUGGAAACUGGUUGACUUGAGUGCAGAAGAGGAGAGUGGAAUUCCAGGUGUAGCGGUGAAAUGCGUAGAUAUAUGGAGGAACACCAGUGGCGAAGGCGACUCUCUGGUCUGUAACUGACGCUGAGGUUCGAAAGCGUGGGUAGCAAACAGG
rnacentral:rRNA from 1 species